GUUACUGUAGCUUAACAUAAACAAAGCACGGCCCUGAAGUUGCCGCGAUGGACACCCACACAACUCCCAGAAACA
rnacentral:tRNA from 1 species